rnacentral:rRNA from 1 species
AAUGAACGCUGGCGGCGUGCCUAACACAUGCAAGUCGGAUGUGCCCGCAAGGGUGCAUGGCAGACGGGUGAGUAACGCGUGGGGAAUCUACCUUUUAGUGGGGAAUAACGCUCCGAAAGGAGUGGUAAUACCGCAUGAGACCGGUGGCUGGGAUGCUGCCGGUGAAACCCUGGGACCUUCGGGCCAGGGGCUAGAAGAGGAUCCUGCGUCUGAUUAGCUAGUUGGUGAGGUAACGGCCCACCAAGGCAUCGAUCAGUAGCCGGCCUGAGA